rnacentral:rRNA from 1 species
AGGGAAAAGCUCAAAUUUUGAAUCUGGUGUCCUCGGCGCCAGAGUUGUAAUCUAGAGAAGUGUUUUCUGUGUCGGACCAUGCACAAGUCCCCUGGAAUGGGGUGUCAUAGAGGGUGAGAAUCCCGUUCAUGGCAUGGAUCCCGAUGCUCUGUGAUACACUCUCAAC